AAGAGGAAGAGUAUUCCAGGAAGAAAGACCAGUUGGUUCAAGAAACAAAAAAAAUUAUGUGCAGAAAUGUAAUGGGCAAGGAGAAUGGUUAGAGAUAAAGUCUGAAAGAUUGGCAGGGUAGAGAACACAGUUUGAACCACUUCUUACUGAACUGGGGAAACCGACCCCUGACAGAUUGAAAGAUGAGGCUUCCUUGAAUGAGAGAAGUGCUACCUAAUAUCGUCGGUGGGAUGGAGUCAGGAAUGGGACAAAGACAAAGGUUGGUGACCACUCCUUGA
rnacentral:lncRNA from 1 species